AACGAUGGGUUUCGGGUUACCUGU
rnacentral:siRNA from 1 species